GAAAUGCGAUAAGUAAUGUGAAUUGCAGAAUUCAGUGAAUCAUCGAAUCUUUGAACGCACAUUGCGUCCGCCAGUAUUCUGGCGGGCAUGCCUGUUCGAGCGUCAUUACAACCCUCAGGCCCCCGGGCCUGGCGUUGGGGAUCGGCGGAAGCCCCCUGCGGGCACAACGCCGUCCCCCAAAUACAGUGGCGGUCCCGCCGCAGCUUCCAUUGCGUAGUAGCUAACACCUCGCAACUGGAGAGCGGCGCGGCCACGCCGUAAAACACCCAACUUCUGAAUGUUGACCUCGAAUCAGGUAGGAAUACCCGCUGAACUUAAGC
rnacentral:misc_RNA from 1 species